rnacentral:rRNA from 1 species
CCUACGGGAGGCUGCAGUGGGGAAUAUUGGGCAAUGGGCGCAAGCCUGACCCAGCAACGCCGCGUGAAGGAAGAAGGCUUUCGGGUUGUAAACUUCUUUUAAGGGGGAAGAGCAGAAGACGGUACCCCUUGAAUAAGCCACGGCUCACUACGUGCCAGCAGCCGCGGUAAUACGUAGGUGGCAAGCGGUGUCCGGAUUUACUGGGUGUAAAGGGCGUGCAGCCGGAGAGACAAGUCAGAUGUGAAAUCCACGGGCUCAACCCGUAAACUGCAUUUGAAACUGUUUCCCUUGAGUGUGGGAGAGGUAAUCGGAAUUCCUUGUGUAGCGGUGAAAUGCGUAGAUAUAAGGAAGAACACCAGUGGCGAAGGCGGAUUACUGGACGAUAACUGACGGUGAGGCGCGAAAGCGUGGGGAGCAAACAGGAUUAGAUACCCCAGUAGUC